GAUUAAUGAUUUAUUGAUUCAUUCAUGUGCAGUUGUUGUCAUCAGGUACAAUCAGAGCAUGUACAGUGUCUCCUUGAUGCCACCAGGGGGCACCAAAGUCUAACAAGUGUGAAUCUGAAGCUGUUUCCUCGCUGCUCGCAGUUUGUUUAUAUGUGCGCACAUAAAACAGACAGACGCUUCACCAAUCAGAACAAAAUGGACCAAUAAUUAUGUUGAUAUUAAAAAAAUAGUCAUCAUCUCAAUAAUAUCAAUGAUAAAGCAUCAGCAUCAUGACAUUUAAUGUUUCUGUGAUAAAAUGACAUAAAUAAGAUCCACAAGUGCAGCAGAUACAAGUCAGAAUUUAAAAAAUGCACAUCCGUCACGAGAAUUCUUUUUAGUUCGUCUCAGCCAAAAGGAGGCCGAUCAUUUGAAAAGUAAAGCAAAUUAAACUGAGAAAACUGUGGUGAGAGAGUUUUAGUUGUGGCUGUGUUUCAGGCAGAGUAAUUUGGGGGAAAACAUUUUUUGGGACCAUGAGUGAUAAGCGGAGGACGCCAGAGGCCUUUAAAUACCUCAGGAACGUUUUAUUGAUCUGAAGCGCGUUGAUUCCACUAAAGUACUCUCACGCAGGCCAGAGGGGGCUGACGUCACUCCUCAGCUGGGUGACGUCGCUCAGAAUCUGCACAGGAUGAUGCUCCCAGUAGCGCAACCUAUAGCUCAGAUUCACCCUCAGAGGGCGCCAACGAGCCCGGCCAUACUGACAAGUAUGACCGAGACACUGGCAACUGUCCUCACCUGCGAAGCAUACCGGCGUCAUCACGAGCGAAGGGACGCCUUCAGAGUGAUGACAGACAGCCGGGAGUUAAAUAUGCAGAGAGGCGGUGAAAAGGAGCACAAGUCUUGUUUUAUAAGACCUGUUGAGUGUAAACUAAGAUGUGAACGGUUCAGAGGAGCGAAUAACUUCUUACGGGACAUUAGGGAAAAAAUGAUGCAUCUGGAGGAAGAAGGCGACGCGAGAUCUUCCUCCCCUGAAAUUAGAGGCUGCAGCUCUUCUUGCUCUUUGAGGUCAGCCUCCUUCAGUUUCUGCUCCACGUCUUCAGGAAUCUCCACCUCCAUCAGGUUCUCCAUCCCCUGCUCCGGCUCGUCUCCUAUCAGCACCUGGAUGUGAACACAGUUUCCAGGGAAUUAAGUCCACCAAGUGUCUGCCGGCCGGCUUUGGUCGCUGUCAGCUGCACAAGAGACGAAACAGUCAAGAACUCAACAUGAAAACAUCGCUGAGUCUACAUGUGUGUUUGUUUGCAGUGUCGUACCAGGAAAAGUGUUUCCAGCAGCAUCUUUCUGAUGUCAGGGUCCUCUUCUCUCUUCUUGUCCUCUGGGAGGUACUGCAGGUCCACAGGAAGACCUGAACAUCACAUCAACUUAUGUUAGAGUCAGAACUAGUGUUACUCAACAAGAAUCUGAGCAGAACCAAAGACGGUUCCUACUGAAGACAUAAACCUUGAUUAAGUUGUCAAAAAUAUAAAGUUCAUUUAUAACAAACCUCAGUAAUUUUCAGCUGGUUUUUUUGGCAAAUGUUAUAGGAUUGAGCCAAAACUAACUGCAGUGUGUGUGUUUAUGGUACUGAAGUAACAUGUGCAACAGUGUGACUCACGGAUGUGUUUACUGUGUCGUACAUUUACAACAAAAAUGGAGCUUUGAGCAGGAGGAAGAAGAUCAGGGUUCCCUGACAAAUUCAAGGACUGUGUCUAUUUCCAAAAACUUUCAAGGAUCCCUGUAAGAUGCAUCAGGCUACAGAUAAACACAUAAUAUGUUUGUCAGAUGAAUUCUGUUUUUGUUUUGUUUUUUGUCUUUCUAUUGGAUUUUUUGACAAAACAGAAAAAUAAAGAAUCUCAUCAGACUUCUCCAAAAAAUAAACAGGUUUCUAUCAGAAACAAAAACUCA